ensembl:lncRNA
GAGGAGUUCAGACUUCGCCCUCUGUGAAAGAGGGAGCAUUGAAUGUUUUUAAAGCAGAAGGAGUGCUGUCAGGACGGAGGCAGCACAGAGCGAGGAGGCCAGCUGGGAGGCUACUGCAAGAGUCCGGGGGAGAGGAGAUGAGGCCCUGAACCAUGGUGACUGAAUUCCUAGGGUUCCUAGUCAUUCCUCAUUCUUCCCAGAUGCUUCAGUGAAGGGGGAGACAAAGACUAGAGAAGGAAGCCAGACCAACGUGGGGUAGGGACAACCGGGAGACUUGCUGUUGGGAGGCUCGAAAUGUGCACAGCCUGUACUGCCCAGCCGCUGUAGAGAGGACAGCUUCCAGGACCCACAGCCAGCCUUGCAUGAGCGAAAAAUAAACUUUUACAUGUCAAGCCCAGAGAUGUGUUACUCUAGGACCCAUUCUAAGUACUAUGCUUUUCUAAGUUCACUUAACUAGUAAAGGGCAGGACCAGGAUAUAAGCAGGAAACAAGACAGCUCCACGUCCUGUGCUAUGGGCAAGGAAUUAAUUAGGAGGAAGAAAAGAACCAGCCAGUGCCAGGUCAGGUGAAACCAGAGCCCGAGGCAUCUUCUCUUGCUCACUUUUUCCACAGCUGUUCCACCCUUACUCACACCACCACCAUAGGAUUAGGAGCUUACAUUUCUCAAGCACUUAAUGUGUGCCAAGAAAUGUGUGAAAGGCUUUGCCUUUUCUUUUUCAGUCCUCAUAUGAGAUAUGCACUAUUAUUAUCCCAUUUUCAUUUGAGGGAGCUGAGCUCAGAGACAUAAGUAAUUUUCCAAGUUCACAUAGAGGGUAAGUGUCAGCACCGGGAUUUUAACUUACACUGUGUGACAUCAAAGCCCAACUAUUACUUUCUGCCGCCUCCCAAGACCAUUGCCUAGGUGGCAGAGGGAAGUUAUGGCAAUGGCAAACACACACACACACACACAUAUACCAGUUGAACCACUCAGGAUCGAAGGGAGCAGAUCCAAUGAACCACAAAUGCUGAACACAUUCCCCACAACCUUGAGAUGGCAUCUAAGCCUGUGCUCUCACCAGACUAGAUAAAGAAGUUUUCCAUCAGGUAAUUAGAGCUGUUCUAAAGAACCCCAUUGUUGCUCCCACGCUUGAAGCAGUUUCUGUUUUGCAAGGUCAACAGAUCAGGUUUGGGGAGCUAGCUGUUUAAGCAUAUGCGUGCUCUGGAAAUUGAGAGCUGUGCUCGCCAGCGUAGCUCUCUAUGCCCAGGCAACCACAGGAUCUUAGUUGUAGUAGGACAAUCAUGCACCAGCAAUUGCAAGUGGCACCACACACAUCAUUCUUCUAGGUGUCAACUAAAUUAGGCUAAGAGUGGGUUUGAUCUGGUUAGCAUCCAGUAUCCAGAUGCCCAUUCCCCACAAAUGAGUGACAGUAAAUGUACCAAAGAUUUCUGAGCCACCCAACACAACUCAUUCUCUUACUUAGCAAUAUCAUUUUUCAUCUACUGUCUUGCAUAUUUCUUAACCAGUCUUCCAUUUGGCUCUUAUAACUACACUAACGCUAGAAAGGAAUGCAUGUUAGGGAGACAAAGGUAUAUAAUUUAAAUGAAAUUAUAUAAGAUACAGUUGGCUAACUAGAGUGCAGCCUACUUUAGGCAUUCCCUUGUCACCAUGUCUGGGUUUGUAGCCCAAUGCAAGAUGUAAGCAACAUUCAGACAUCAAGGCACAUUGACUUCUAGGCUUUUUUUUUUUCUGGUUAUAGUAAUAUUUCUUUUUCUGCAAAAGAUUUUUUUUCCUAAAGGUAAGUUAUUUUGAAUAUGGGAGGAAACUUCCUUUUCCAGCAAUAUGGUGGAGUAAAUAUCUGCAAAAACAAUGAUAAGUAAAACAACUAAAAAUAUUGGAUGUGAUAAUUUUAAAAGCUUUUAAAAAUAUAUGGGACUGCACUUUCAAGAAAACAGGGGAAAUUCUGAGGAGUCAAAAUUAAAGACAGACCAGGAAACCACAGUGGUAUUCAGGUUCUGGCAGCGUCUAUGCAGAGACCCUCCAAGAAGGAGUUUGCCAAUCUCAUUUUCCAAGACCAGUGGGUUUUAAAGGCCUCAUGGAGUAUGGAGACAAGGCUGUGGGUCCGUACCGGUUGGGAAGCUGGAAAUAAGACCCCUCACAUAUAUAAGACAUCCUCACCUGAAAAACUGCACGCCCGCAAAGAAGUGACAAAGAAACUUAUCGGCUUUGACCUUGACUCUAGAUGUGGAAAAAAAUCCCCUGAAAAUGUAUAACCAUGGCCUUCCCUCAUAUGGAUUUGGGGAAUGAAUUUACCUUACCUGGGUUGUCCAGAAACCCAGAGCUGAGAACUUUAACUUAGACUGGUCUUGGGUUGAGGGCCCCUGGCAGUUAAAGAUAAAACCUUGUUGGAGGUUUGCACACUCAACCAAAGCUUCCCAAGAUUCCACAAAUACAGCCCAAAAAGCAGGACAUGCGCUCACAAGCCCAACCACAAAACACGAAUAAACAAGGUACUUGAGCAGGAGUCAGCGGAAAUGGCGCCAGCAGAGCGAGGUCCCCCAAGGACGUCAGACGUCGGAAUUAUCCCCUAUAGGAUCUGAAAUGAGCAUUUUUACAGGGCAUAAAGGAAUAAGAGAGGGAGUCAAAAACAGAAGCUAGAAAUAAGAUACUAUCGUAAAGACCAGGCAGAUGUGAAAAAAAGAAACAUAACACUUCUAAAAAUAAAAUAAAAUAAUGAUAAUAAUAAUAAUGGAAAUUGAAACUCAGUGGAUAGGUUAAAAGGCAGACUAGACACAGCUGAAAGAAUUGGAAGAGACCCUCAAUUCUUGGCCCUGGAAAAUCCAGUUCUGUGUCUUUGCUACGAUCAGGCCGUGAGUAUCCGACUCGCUCUGGCUCCUCUUGGAGCUGGAGUACCGGAGCAGCGCUGCGCGUCACGUGGGACAGAAGGAACAUUCAAUCCUUUUGUCAAGCAGGACAGAAGGAAUAAAUCCUAGCCUUAAAGUUUCCAUGACUAGCAGAAAUUCUUCUCACUGCCCAUAGCUUGCAGCAAAAUGAAGGAGGGCUCCGAUUUCUAAAUGAAAAAUUUCCUUUUGUAAAGCUACUUAGAAGGAGGGUUUUCAGAAUCUGUCCACACAAUUUUCUACUUAGACAGGAGAUGAUAUUUUCCCCUAAGUGCACAAAAUCAUUCUGGUAUAUCUUUUGGGAUUUACCUUAUUAAUAAAUAAAGAUCUGAAACUGGAUGUGUACAGCUGUUUAAUGCUGAAAUCCGCUCCAGCGCAUCAGUAUUUGUGUAUGUGUGUGUGUGUGUAAAAUUUUAAGUAAGACUUUACCGUGCUUUAAUAGAAUUUUUAAUGUUGCUGUAAACAUAAGAGGCUGGAAGAAUUAUGAACAGAAAAAUACCCAAAGAUCUUACCCAGACUGCAGCACAGAGAGACAAAGAAAUGAAAUAUAUGGAAGAGAAGGACAGAGACAUGGUGAAGAGAGGGUAAGAAGGUUUACAGCACAGUGAAUUGGAAUUCCAUAAAAGGAAAAAGAAUUCUCAAACAUUAAAAAGCUGGAAAUUUUCUAGGGUUGGUGAGAGAUACAAAUCCCCAGAUUUAGGAAUUAAAUGAAUCCCAAGCUAAAUAACAGGAAAUAAACCCCAAGCCACAUAAUUGUGAAACUGCAGAUCACCAAAGACAAAGAGAAGAUCUUAGCCAGGAGACAAGACAGUUUACGUACAAAGGAAGAACAUUUAUACUGUCAGCAGACUUCUUAUUCGCAACAAUGAGGCAGAAGAAUAAUAUUUUUCAAGUAUGAAAAAAAUAACUGUCAACCCAGGUAACCUAGACAUCCUUUCAUUCAAAAACAAGGACAGUUUAGGAAAAAAAGCAAUUUUACCCUAACUCAAAUUAAAGAAUUCCAAGGCCCUUGUAGUUAGUAUUCUGGAGAAGUAUGAUGUGGCAGACUGCUAACUGUCCCCCGCACGUGCCCUCCCCUUCUCGUAGUAUCAGGUCCCCCACUUCGCCCUUUAGCCAGGCACACGGGCACCCCGCCGGAGACUACAUUUUCCAUCGCCCAAGUGGAGCAGUUUAAGGAGAGAAUAGGAAGUGGCUAAAGACAAACCAUCAAGAGGAAAUAGGGAACAACAGCUGGAGGGGUCCUGGAGUCAGGGGCGCUUUUGCUUUUUUAAAGGUGAGAGAUACUUCAGCACGUUUGUUUGGUUUUGUAUAUGAUCCAAGAGAGGGAGAGAAGAUGAUGCUGCAAAAUAGAGAGUGGAAACUGCAAGAGUGAAGAUUUCGAGAAGGCAAGAAGGAUCCAGAGCACAUGUGGCAGGAGGGGCUGGCCUUGGGUAGAACAGGGACCCCCUCCUCCUCAACUAUAUAAUCAGGUAACGGUUUUCCAGCAUCAGUGUCAUCUCAUUAUAUUUUAAUAAUUCAGUUAAACACCCUGAAUUUUAAUUUCUCUGCCUAAAAUGAGCAGUUCUGUACUCUUUCAGAGCAGACAUCACUCAUCUGUUGAUGAGACUUAGAAUGCCCACUGAAAGGUGGUGACUCUCGUCUAAGAUUUAAAUCAGAGGGACCCCACGCAACAGGCAAAUAUUGAAGAAUAGACUUUAAUGGUAAACCCCCAAAGUUGUGUGUGAAAGCAUUUAAGCAAACAUAUCUGGGUUCAUUGCUGGGGUUUUUUUCUUGCUUUUCUAUGAUGUGGAAAUGAGAAUGGGUUCCCUGGAGGUCAAAGGACCCGUGGAAGAAGGUGGUUGAGGACGUAACAGCACAGAGAGAUGACUGAGGUUGUCCCGUGUGUGGGACCCCAGGGAAGACAGGGUCUAACAGAGCCACAGUGAUGUUCACCCGGAGCUGACAGAACGAGGGGAGGGACAGGGUGAGAGGGCAUUGUUCCUGCACUAUAAUUUAGUGAGGAUUUUCUGGGACUCCAGUGCUAGCGAGAUUAAGUAGUUAUGGCCUAGUGGCAAGUUCAUGGGAAAGAGCCAGAGGGAAAAUUAACUUGUAUUUGACAUGAAACACAUACUCUGUGGGUAUUCAUCAGAGUAAAUUAUAUGCAAUGGGGACGUUUGAAAGCACUUCCUUUUUCUCCCUUAAUGAAUAUGUACUGUUGGAUCGCACUGGACUGCCCCUCUUGAUUUUUAGUAAAUAAUCAACAACUUCUGAUGCCUAUAAUCUAGUGUUUAACUGUCUCUACUUGUGAUUAAAUUGAGGAUGAAUACAUAUUACCAUAAUGCCUAGGAAUUGCAUAAUAUUUCCC